AUGAACGCUAGCUACAGGCUUAACACAUGCAAGUCGAGGGGCAGCAUGAACUUAGCUUGCUAAGUUUGAUGGCGACCGGCGCACGGGUGAGUAACACGUAUCCAACCUGCCGAUGACUCGGGGAUAGCCUUUCGAAAGAAAGAUUAAUACCCGAUGGCAUAGUUCUUCCGCAUGGUAGAACUAUUAAAGAAUUUCGGUCAUCGAUGGGGAUGCGUUCCAUUAGGUUGUUGGCGGGGUAACGGCCCACCAAGCCUUCGAUGGAUAGGGGUUCUGAGAGGAAGGUCCCCCACAUUGGAACUGAGACACGGUCCAAACUCCUACGGGAGGCAGCAGUGAGGAAUAUUGGUCAAUGGACGAGAGUCUGAACCAGCCAAGUAGCGUGAAGGAUGACUGCCCUAUGGGUUGUAAACUUCUUUUAUACGGGAAUAAAGUGAGGCACGUGUGCCUUUUUGUAUGUACCGUAUGAAUAAGGAUCGGCUAACUCCGUGCCAGCAGCCGCGGUAAUACGGAGGAUCCGAGCGUUAUCCGGAUUUAUUGGGUUUAAAGGGAGCGUAGGCGGACGCUUAAGUCAGUUGUGAAAGUUUGCGGCUCAACCGUAAAAUUGCAGUUGAUACUGGGUGUCUUGAGUACAGUAGAGGCAGGCGGAAUUCGUGGUGUAGCGGUGAAAUGCUUAGAUAUCACGAAGAACUCCGAUUGCGAAGGCAGCCUGCUGGACUGUAACUGACGCUGAUGCUCGAAAGUGUGGGUAUCAAACAGGAUUAGAUACCCUGGUAGUCCACACAGUAAACGAUGAAUACUCGCUGUUUGCGAUAUACAGUAAGCGGCCAAGCGAAAGCGUUAAGUAUUCCACCUGGGGAGUACGCCGGCAACGGUGAAACUCAAAGGAAUUGACGGGGGCCCGCACAAGCAGUGGAGUAUGUGGUUUAAUUCGACGCAACGCGAAGAACCUUACCAAGUCUUGACAUCCCUUGACGAUGCUGGAAACAGCAUUUCUCUUCGGAGCAAGGAGACAGGUGGUGCAUGGUUGUCGUCAGCUCGUGCUGUGAGGUGUCGGCUUAAGUGCCAUAACGAGCGCAACCCUUAUCGAUAGUUACCAUCAGGUGAUGCUGGGGACUCUGUCGAGACUGCCGUCGUAAGAUGUGAGGAAGGUGGGGAUGACGUCAAAUCAGCACGGCCCUUACGUCCGGGGCUACACACGUGUUACAAUGGGGGGUACAGAAGGCAGCUACACGGCGACGUGAUGCUAAUCCCGAAAGCCUCUCUCAGUUCGGAUUGGAGUCUGCAACCCGACUCCAUGAAGCUGGAUUCGCUAGUAAUCGCGCAUCAGCCACGGCGCGGUGAAUACGUUCCCGGGCCUUGUACACACCGCCCGUCAAGCCAUGAAAGCCGGGGGUACCUGAAGUGCGUAACCGCAAGGAGCGCCCUAGGGUAAAACUGGUGAUUGGGGCU
rnacentral:rRNA from 1 species